rnacentral:rRNA from 1 species
GAUGAACGCUAGCGGCAGGCUUAAUACAUGCAAGUCGAGGGGCAGCAUGAUUGUAGCAAUACAAUUGAUGGCGACCGGCAAACGGGUGCGGAACACGUACACAACCUCCCAAUAAGUGGGGAAUAGCCCAGAGAAAUUUGGAUUAAUACCCCGUAACAUAACGAUGUGGCAUCACAUUGUUAUUAUAGAUUUUUCGCUUAUUGAUGGGUGUGCGGCUGAUUAGAUAGUUGGCGGGGUAACGGCCCACCAAGUCUACGAUCAGUAGCUGAUGUGGGAGCAUGAUCAGCCACACGGGAACUGAGACACGGGCCCGACUCCUACGGGAGGAAGCAGUAAGGAAUAUUGGACAAUGGACGCAAGUCUGAUCCAGCCAUGCCGCGUGAAGGAUUAAGGUCCUCUGGAUUGUAAACUUCUUUUAUAAGGGACGAAAAAAGGCUUUUCUAAGUCGUCUGACGGUACCUUAUGAAUAAGCACCGGCUAACUCCGUGCCAGCAGCCGCGGUAAAAC